UUGAACGCUGGCGGAAUGCUUUACACAUGCAAGUCGAACGGCAGCACGGGGGCAACCCUGGUGGCGAGUGGCGAACGGGUGAGUAAUACAUCGGAACGUGCCCAGUAAUGGGGGAUAACUAUCCGAAAGGAUGGCUAAUACCGCAUACGCCCUGAGGGGGAAAGUGGGGGACCGCAAGGCCUCACGUUAUUGGAGCGGCCGAUGUCGGAUUAGCUAGUUGGUGGGGUAAAGGCCUACCAAGGCGACGAUCCGUAGCUGGUCUGAGAGGAUGAUCAGCCACACUGGGACUGAGACACGGCCCAGACUCCUACGGGAGGCAGCAGUGGGGAAUUUUGGACAAUGGGGGCAACCCUGAUCCAGCCAUUCCGCGUGAGUGAAGAAGGCCUUCGGGUUGUAAAGCUCUUUCGGCAGGAACGAAAAGGUCAUUAUUAAUACUAGUGACUAAUGACGGUACCUGAAGAAGAAGCACCGGCUAACUACGU
rnacentral:rRNA from 1 species